AGAGUGUGUGCGGCCCCGCUGCGAACCGGUAGUAAAGAAUCAACAUUUCAUUAAGGAAGGAGAACAGCCAAUGGAUGCUCUUUCAAAAACAGGAGCAAAAUGUGGUGGUAUCCGAUAAGAAGUAAAACAGCCUGGUGCAUGACAUCAUUAGCCCAAGAUAUGGAUGUUGCUGAGAGGUGGUAUUAAGCCGGUUCAGACCAGUUCGCCUGAACCGGUAGCGGAAAUCAUGGGUGGGCCUGUCCCGGCUCUAUGCCAUCCUCUUUAGGCAUGGAAGGCAUGUGCACAAGCAAGGCACAUGUGUGGAAGGCCAGGCGCAUGUGUGUGAACAUAGUGAACAUAAUGUGAAACCCACUGCUGAUGUUGC